UCUCGGACACGCUGCUCUCCUGUGCGGCCCUCUGCGUGGCCUCGUGCCGCGCUCAUUUCAGCCCCCCACCCCCCCCCCCCCCCCUCAGCACAGGGGCUGAGAGAAAAAGCCAUUUUAAUGGCUCCUUUAGAAGCUUUCGUUUUCGUUCUUUUCUUUUCUUUUCUUUACUAAGUUUAUUCAACUAUUCGCCUCUCCACGCAAGGAAGACGAAUCCUGGAACAAUGUUUGUUGAACCUUUCAAAUACCGCGCGAGGACAGAACAAAGGACCACGUGCUCCACGCUCACGCCAAGAGCCAGCGCAGCGUGCACGCGCGUCACAUGGCCUCCGUUUCAUGGCACAUGGCUGUUUCAACGGGAACAGCGCGCAAAGCUCACAAGCUCGACGCCGAUCUCACGCCACGCUCACAUUGGACACUUUUGCAAGUCUGGCUGAAUGCCCCAUACCAGCACAACACAACAAGGCCCAAUCCAGGAGGAUCUAAUCAGUAGCUGCACAGCCAGAUGUCUCCUUGAGCAGACUCCAAAGCGCACUAUUCAUUGAUUGUUUAUGCUGGGUGAAUCUUUGAAAAUUACAUUGGGGCCCAAUCACAAUAAUUAGCAAAUUGAAGGCAUCGUUAUCUUGAGGAUAUAGUUGUUGUGUUUUUUUUUUUUUUUUUUUUUUCAUGAGGACUUUGAAUUACUCUGAUGAUAUGCUAUUUAAGAGUGCAAGCUAAUUAAUCUCCUGUCCAGCACAGUUUUGUCCAAAUGGAUAAAGAGCCCCGUUCUCCAUCAGCCGUGAACGCUUUCAGUAAUCUUGCAUUUCAUUGCAUUUCCCCCAAGGCAUUCAACACCUAGCCCCAUCCCUGUCUAUUCAAUAGACUUUCCAUUGCCAGUGUCACAAAUUGCUUUAUUUAAUACAUGGUCAUGCACUAUGAUAUAUUAUUUUCCAUUGUAACUCUUUCACACUCAUUUACAUGAUCUUGAAUGAACCAUUCUGGAACAAAAUUAUAGUAAAAUGUGUUCCUUGUGCCAUAGUGCACUACAUGUAUUUGUCAACGGAAAAUAAAUGACACUAUAAAGAUAUCUAAUAGCG